rnacentral:misc_RNA from 1 species
AAUCAUCUGCUCUACGCUCUUUCCUUUCCCUCUUACCUCCACUUUCUUAACUUUCUCACAACUCUGCCCCAUCUCCAUUCGACUUCCUAACUGUGAGAGCAAAAGAAAAACCGCAAGAGUAAGCAGCGUUUGAAAUGACGAAGGUUUAAUUGCACUCCAAGCUUGAGCAGCAGCUCAAGGACGUGGAAUCGAAGCUCCAGAGCCCUCCUUCUACCGAAGACACUCUUGUUAAGUUAUCAAAGUAAAAAUUGUGGAUUACGCCUUUGCAGUUCAUGUCUUCAUCAUGGGCUAAGCAAUUGAGUCAACUCACAAAGGCUAAACCAUUGUUUGAAAAGUUUCGAAAUCAAGGGAUACCAACAAGAUUGCUUGAAAAAUAUGACAUCUUAUUUAUGGAUACUAUAGCCACUAGAAAGCAUGCUUGGUCUUCAUCCAUUGGUGUGUUGUUAGAGGAUGAUGAUGAUGGUGGUCUAGGUGAUAAUGUUGAGAAAGCACAUAGCGAGGAUGCUAUUUGAUUGGAAUGGAUUGGUAACUCUGAGGAGGAAUCUAAUUUUCUUAAGGACUUAGAUCCAAUAGUUAAUAAUGAAAUUCAAGGUACACAAAGGAUGCACAGUGAUAGCCCAACAAUAGAAUAAAUUCAAGGUAAAAAAGGUAAAAGGGAAAACAUGUCAAACAAACAAAGUGAAAAGGAUAACAAGGCAAAGAAAAAAAAAAUGAAGACGCAAUUUAGUGGUUUGGCUAAGUUAUCAUAAGAAAUUGAUAGACUGGUUGCAACAGUUGAGAGUAGAGGCACUAUUACUUCUAAAAGGAAUGAUUUACCUGGAUGUACCAUACUUGAAGUAUAUGAGCAGCUAAAUACCUUGCUAGAAAUUGAGGAAGGAAAUGAGCUCUUGUUGUUUGCCACUGAAUUUUUAGAAAUGAAGUCAAAAAGAGAGAUGUUUGCUUCCAUUAAGAAACCUGAAGCUAGAUUAACUUGGUUGAAACAUCAUCAUGCUAACGCUAAAAUGUAAAAUUUUUAUUGUUCACUAUGUAGGACUACUUUAUAUUAUGUAGAAUGAACUUUAUGCUGUGUAAUUUAUAUUAUGCAGAAUGUUUUAAAUUUUUUAACAUAUAUGUUGUUAUUAUUAUAUUAAUUUGGCUUGCAUAUAAGUAAUAAUAUAUUUAUAUUGUUCUUUUUAGAUAUGGAUAUUGAUGUGCAAACUAAUAAUAAUGAUAAAAAGGAGGAAGCGUUGAAUGCUCUUAAUGAUGAUGAAAGUUGGCAACUAGUAAUAGCAACUGCUAGUGCUAUUACUAAAUAUUUUUAUAAAUGUAUAUAUAAAGAGCCUUGUAUGGUUUCUUACCAAACAGGUUUGAAAUGGUUGUUAGAAGUAUUGCAAGGCCAUCGAGAUCAUUGUGUUAAUAUGUUUAGGAUGGACAAAAAUACAAUGAUACAAUUAUGUUUCCGUUUGGAAAGUAAAUAUGGUUUGAAAUCAUCAAGAAGGAUGUCCAUGAUUGAAAAAGUUGCAAUAUUUCUAUACACUCUUGUCCUUAAUGCUUCAAAUAAGCAUGCACGAGAAAGAUUUCAACGUUUUGGUAAAACAAUUAGUCGAGUUUUUCAGCAAGUAUUACAUGUCGUCUGUUUGAUAUCAAUGGAUAUAAUAAAGCCUAUAGAUCCUAAGUUCAGUAAUACACUAUCAGAGAUUUUAAAUAAUACAAGAUGCAUGCCUCAUUUUAAGGUAAUGUGUUUUUAUCUUAAUCAUUUUUUUAAAAAUAUCUCAACUUAAAAUAGUUUGUAUUUGAUUGGUUUAUACACUCUUUAUAGGACUGUGUUGAUGUAAUUGAUGGUACACAUGUGUGGGCAAGUAUAGCUCUAGAAGAGCAAAUUCCAUACAUUGGGAGAAAGGGAAUUACGACACAAAACAUUAUGGCCGUUUGCAGUUUUGAUAUGCAGUUUAUAUUUGUGUGAGUAGGAUGGGAGGGAACAACGCACGAUGCAAGAAGUUUCUUAGCAGCUAUUAAUGAUUCGGUUAUUAAAUUCCAAAACUUC